GGGGCGGUCGAACUAGCCUGCAAGCCAUUUUGGGAACAGUGUCAGUUUCUACUGCUAUCAAGUGCCGCUCUAUGCAUAGCCUACUGCUUCAUAGGGCUCGAGCACGGAGCAAACCGAUAACCUAUUUGGACCGGCACGGUUCAGAAUCCGUGUAAAGUUUCUGACUCUCCGCGCGUUGAUCUUUUUCUAUUUGUUGAGAAUUUCGCCACUGCCAUUGAACAGCAUUUGUAGCUCGUUCCAAGAUGGCCGCUUGGGUUGCAUUCAUUUUUUUCUGAUCGACUUGUAACUUUCAUUGUCCAUCACAUACGGGAUAUAACCCGUUAGGAUUUCACAAUUUUAGGACAAUGCACAGAACAACAAAAAUCAAGAUUACUGAGCUGAAUCCACAUUUGAUGUGUGUCUUGUGCGGUGGAUAUUUUAUCGACGCAACCACCAUUGUGGAGUGUUUACACUCAUUCUGUAAAAUGUGCAUUGUUUGUUAUCUGGAGACCAGCAAAUUCUGUCCAAUUUGUGAUCUCCAGAUUCACAAAACGAAACCCCUUUUGAAUAUUAGGUCUGACAAGACCCUUCAAGACAUUGUUUACCGGUUGGUACCUGGGGUUUUCAAAGCUGGAAAUGGAUCAAAUGAAGAGCGAGGGGAGGUGGAGAUGAAGAAAAGAGAAUAAUAGCCGACGAUGAGAUUAUAAGCCUGUCCAUCGAAUUUUUUCAUCAGAGCUGCUUUCAAACCGGCAAAAAGUAUGCUUAAAAAAUGCAGCCAACCCCCAUGCUUGUUCAAUGAUUUCUUUGCUCUUUUUUCCAAUUGUAAAUUUAGCUUUUCUCUUAGGCUGGGAAAGGAGGAUGGUGAAGUCAAGGAUAUGAAGACAGAGAUGAUUGACAAGCGAUACUUGCAAUGUCCAGCAGCCAUGACCAUAAUGCAUCUGAGGAAAUUCCUUCGAAGUAAAAUGGAUAUUCCAUGCACCUGUCAGAUAGAAGUUGUGUAUGAAGAUGAACCAUUGACAGAUAGAAGUUGUGUAUGAAGAUGAACCAUUGACAGAUAGAAGUUGUGUAUGAAGAUGAACCAUUGACAGAUAGAAGUUGUGUAUGAAGAUGAACCAUUGACAGAUAGAAGUUGUGUAUGAAGAUGAACCAUUGACAGAUUGAUACACAUUAAUGGACAUUGCACACAUCUACACCUGGAGAAGGGUAAGCAUUUACCCUUGCACUUCAACACAUGAAAUGUCAUCUUUUCUAAUAAGACCUUUAAAUAAUAUGCUGUGUUGUUUUCCUUAUUUAUAAGGUUGUGAAGUGGUGCAUCCAUUCAUGAAUUCGAUUCUCUACCAAGCAAUAUGUUCACAUGUAUUUUGGAGAGAUUACACAUUUAUUAAAAAAAUCUCUAUUGCUUGUCUAAAGCUCAUGUCAUUCUUAAAAUACAUGCUCAUCUGAGAAUAUGGUUAUAAGUCACAGAAAAGUCUCCUGCACACAUACACUUAAGAAAAUCUUCACUUGUUUUAGAAUGGUCCCUUGCCAUUGAAAUACCGGGUACGAACAGGCUGCAAGAAGAUGAAGAUGAGCAGCCCAAGAAACGGGGCCAAAACCACACAACAUGCUGGAGGAGUAUGCUAUGACUCUGGGACUGGGGGUGACAAGCAUCUGAACAAUGACCCCGAAGCUCCCUCCACCUCAUCCUCCUCUCGGCCCAGUCCGAGCCACAGAAUUGUCCACUCAUCAUCAUCAUCAUCAUCAUCGCUUCCCCACUUCCCCCACCUCUCCAGCAUUGGCACCUCAACAAACGGUAUCUUAACAAAAGUGGUUCCAAAUCAACUUUCCCGGACGCCAACAUAGACUGUGGAUACUUUUAUUAUUGUUUCAAACAUUUGCCGUUUUGAUAUAAUCCUAUGUGGACCAGAUAUUUGUUCAUUUGUCUAAGAAACACUGUGGAAAGACUUAUUGAAUUUGCUCAAUGGCACCUGCAGAUCGGAUUUGAAAUGGCUAGCCCAGUAAUGUGCCAUGUGGUUUGGAAUGUGAAAAAAAAUAUCACGUUUACUUCAAACCUGGACAUUCCAAUGAUUCCUAGAACUGAAUUGCCAAUACUGUAGUUGAUUGAAAUGGAAAUGUGGUUUUGGCUUCGUCAACUUCAUUUGUCAACACACAACAAUAGUUGACAAAAAUAGUUGACUAUUGCCCUCUGCAUACAUGUAAUGGGGAAUUUAAUAAACACAACCUGAUUGUUUUGGCUUUAAGUGUGCAAUC